CCUGGGCUACACACGUGCUACAAUGGCGGUACAAAGGGUCGCGAACCCGCGAGGGGGAGCCAAUCCCAAAAAGCCGCUCUCAGUUCGGAUUGCAGGCUGCAACUCGCCUGCAUGAAGCCGGAAUCGCUAGUAAUCGCGGAUCAGCAUGCCGCGGUGAAUACGUUCCCGGGCCUU
rnacentral:rRNA from 1 species